rnacentral:ribozyme from 1 species
AAAGACAUGAGCAAAGAGAAGGGAGUAUGCAGCUGGUUAGUAACCUUUUCUUGUUCCUUUCAUUUUCAUUUUUUGUUAUUACCUUUUUCCUUUGCAUACUU